rnacentral:rRNA from 1 species
UACGGGGGGAGCAAGCGUUGUUCGGAUUUACUGGGCGUAAAGGGCGCGUAGGCGGCGCAACAAGUCACUUGUGAAAUCUCCGGGCUUAACCCGGAGCGGCCAAGUGAUACUGUCGUGCUAGAGUGCGGAAGGGGCUACUGGAAUUCUCGGUGUAGCGGUGAAAUGCGUAGAUAUCGAGAGGAACACCUGCGGCGAAGGCGGGUAGCUGGGCCGCCACUGACGCUGAGGCGCGAAAGCCAGGGGAGCGAACGGG